GAUGAACGCUGGCGGCGUGCUUAACACAUGCAAGUCGAACGGUGAACGAGGGAGCUUGCUCCCUCCGGAUCAGUGGCGAACGGGUGAGUAACACGUGAGCAAUCUGCCCUGGACUCUGGGAUAAGCGUUGGAAACGACGUCUAAUACCGGAUACGAGAAGCGAAGGCAUCUUCAGCGUCUGGAAAGAAUUUCGGUCAAGGAUGAGCUCGCGGCCUAUCAGCUUGUUGGUGAGGUAAUGGCUCACCAAGGCGACGACGGGUAGCCGGCCUGAGAGGGUGACCGGCCACACUGGGACUGAGACACGGCCCAGACUCCUACGGGAGGCAGCAGUGGGGAAUAUCGCACAAUGGGCGAAAGCCUGAUGCAGCAACGCCGCGUGAGGGAUGAAGGCCUUCGGGUUGUAAACCUCUUUUAGCAGGGAAGAAGCGAAAGUGACGGUACCUGCAGAAAAAGCACCGGCUAACUACGUGCCAGCCGCCGCGGUAAGAC
rnacentral:rRNA from 1 species